rnacentral:misc_RNA from 1 species
GAUGAAGAACGCAGCGAAAUGCGAUAAGUAGUGUGAAUUGCAGAAUUCAGUGAAUCAUCGAAUCUUUGAACGCACAUUGCGCCCCUUGGUAUUCCAUGGGGCAUGCCUGUUCGAGCGUCAUUUGUACCUUCAAGCUUUGCUUGGUGUUGGGUGUUUGUCCUGAGGGACUCGCCUUAAAGUAAUUGGCAGCCAGUGUUUGGUUUUGAAUCGCAGCACAAGUCGCGAUUCAAAGCUAUACGCCCGCUUCCACAAGCCUUUUUCACUUUUGACCUCGGAUCAGGUAGGGAUACCCGCUGAACUUAAGCAUAUCAAUAAGCGGAGGA